GCUUUGCCGUGCCAGACAACACCCACCCCACCCUACACCCAGGAGCUGCCUCUACCUUCCCACCUGGCCUCCGGAACAAGAACUGGGGUCAAAUCCCACAUAACCAGUGGGGAAAGUGCUGGGUCUGCUGGGUGAGGAGAAGCACUAGCCAGUGAUGGAGCUGCAGGACCCAGCCGUCAUGUGCCAGCAGGAGCCAGGAGGUAGUCAUGGGACUGCGCUCUGAGAAGACUGGACCCAGCCAGUAGCUCAAGAAUUUGAGAAUUGCCAUGACUAACGGGAGCCACUUUGCCCAAGGUUACAAACACUCCCCGAAGGCAGCUCAUGUCCAGUGACUUCUAGUAAGGACUGGCUACACACAUCACUGAACUGCACUCACAAAAAGAAAGUUGGAGCCAGUCAAGUGGCCACUGCAGCAGUGGAUAGACCAAAAGACACAUAGGGCCUGAAGGACCUGAAGCAGUCCCAUUCCUCAUUUCCACUUCCACCAAACCUGCCAGUUCCAAGACUGAAGUCCUUGGAAUCCCAGCAACCAUUCUGGCCCCCACUUCCCAACAAUGAUCUCUGAAGGAAAUAGAGCACCGUAGCCAUUCACUUAGAAUGCUGAUUCACCCACGGACUCACUCUUCCUGUAAAGCAGCUUUCCUCUAUUUGAUAAGGUGAUUUCUAAGCAGUAGGAUCUCAGAAGACUACAGUCUGCAGGUACAGCCUGCCUCCUGUGACCAGGAGGCUAUCCAAUCAUUGCAUUGUUUGUAAAGAUCUUUCUCUUCCUGGGGACUAAUAUCUUUGAAUAAAGAUAAUAUCUUCAAAAUAAAGGUCCAUAUGCCUAUAGGAGGCUGAGAA